rnacentral:rRNA from 1 species
CCGUUUGCAGGGAAACAGAUAGACCCACGAAGUCCAGUUGAUUAAGAGAUUCAAAUUUCAUUUGAUGCACUUAUAGAUGUAAACUUUUCUUUGGAAAGUCCAUUUAUUUAAUGUAUUAAAUGUGAUGCAUUUCUCUUAAUCACGAUGGAGCUCUGACUUCUUUCUAUUACUUGAUCGUUUAAGGCAAGCUGCUUUAAUGGUAGACUCUUUUUGAGUCCUCAUUAUGGUGGUUUACGUGAGAGUAUUGAAGAGAGGUUGAAUUGCUUACAUUUGUAAGUGUUCAGUUUGUCUGCUCUAUAUAGAUGUAGAAUACUUUAUAUAUGUGAAUUUUUACUUUUUAAGUGAAAACCACAUACUAUAAAAUAUUCAUUUACAUUUAUAUAUUGCAAAUGAUAAUCCAGAGUAAGUAGGUCGGUCAUCUAUCUGACCCGUCUUGAAACACGGACCAAGGAGCCCAACAUUUGCGCGAGUCGCUCGGUCUUGAAUAGGCCUGAGAGGCGUAAUAAACAUAAAGGUAUGAUCCUUCAAAAUCUUUCGAGACUAGAAGGCGCAAUACCGACCUGCUUUACUUGCUUUUUGCAAGAAAGUGGAGUUUGAGCGUAAAUGUUGGUACCCGAAAGAUGGUGAACUAUACUUGGGCAAGACGAAGCCAGAGGAAACUCUGGUGGAGGUCUGUAGCGAUUCUGACGUGCAAAUCGAUCGUCAGACCUGAGUAUAGGGGCGAAAGACUAAUCGAACCAUCUAGUAGCUGGUUCCCUCCGAAGUUUCCCUCAGGAUAGCUAGUACCAAACUCUGUAGCAUCCGGUAAAGCGAAUGAUUAGAGGUAUUGGGAUCGAAACGAUCUCAACCUAUUCUCAAACUUUAAAUGGGUGCGAAGCAUGACUUUUUUAACUAAAGUCUUGCUUUGUAAGAGUGGUACUAAGUGGGCCAUUUUUGGUAAGCAGAACUGGCGAUGUGGGAUGAACCAAUCGUAGAGUUAAGGCACCAAAUGCCGACGCUCAUGAGACCCCAUGAAAGGUGUUGGUUGCUUCAGACAGC